GUGCCAGCCGCCGCGGUAAUACGAGAGGCCCAAACGUUAUUCGGAAUCACUGGGCUUAAAGAGUUCGUAGGCGGCGCGGAAAGUGGGGUGUGAAAGCCCUCGGCUUAACCGAGGAAUUGCGCUCCAUACUCCCGUGCUAGAGGAGGCUAGAGGUAAGCAGAACUGAUGGUGGAGCGGUGAAAUGCGUUGAUAUCAUCAGGAAUACCGGAGGCGAAGGCGGCUUACUGGGACCUUUCUGACGCUGAGGAACGAAAGCUAGGGGAGCAAACGGGAUUAGAUACCCGCGUAGUCC
rnacentral:rRNA from 1 species